rnacentral:rRNA from 1 species
GACGAACGCUGGCGGCGUGCUUAACACAUGCAAGUCGAGCGGUAAGGCCCUUUCGGGGUACACGAGCGGCGAACGGGUGAGUAACACGUGGGUGACCUGCCCUCAGCUCUGGGAUAAGCCUGGGAAACUGGGUCUAAUACUGGAUAUGACUCCACGGUGCAUGUCGUGGGGUGGAAAGCCUUGUGCGGCUGAGGAUGGGCCCGCGGCCUAUCAGCUUGUUGGUGGGGUGANGGGCCUACCAAGGCGACGACGGGUAGCCGGCCUGAGAGGGCGACCGGCCACACUGGGACUGAGACACGGCCCAGACUCCUACGGGAGGCAGCAGUGGGGAAUCUUGCGCAAUGGGCGAAAGCCUGACGCAGCGACGCCGCGUGAGGGAUG